rnacentral:rRNA from 1 species
AGUGAACGCUGGCGGUAGGCCUAACACAUGCAAGUCGAACGGCAGCACAGUAAGAGCUUGCUCUUACGGGUGGCGAGUGGCGGACGGGUGAGGAAUACAUCGGAAUCUACUUUUUCGUGGGGGAUAACGUAGGGAAACUUACGCUAAUACCGCAUACGACCUACGGGUGAAAGCAGGGGAUCUUCGGACCUUGCGCGAUUGAAUGAGCCGAUGUCGGAUUAGCUAGUUGGCGGGGUAAAGGCCCACCAAGGCGACGAUCCGUGCUGGUCUGAGAGGAUGAUCAGCCACACUGGAACUGAGACACGGUCCAGACUCCUACGGGAGGCAGCAGUGGGGAAUAUUGGACAAUGGGCGCAAGCCUGAUCCAGCCAUACCGCGUGGGUGAAGAAGGCCUUCGGGUUGUAAAGCCCUUUUGUUGGGAAAGAAAAGCAGCAGGUUAAUACCCCGCUGUUCUGACGGUACCCAAAGAAUAAGCACCGGCUAACUUCGUG